rnacentral:rRNA from 1 species
AUUGAACGCUGGCGGCAGGCUUAACACAUGCAAGUCGAACGAGUGGCGGACGGGUGAGUAAUGGUUGGGAAUCUGGCUUAUGGAGGGGGAUAACUACGGGAAACUGGAGCUAAUACCGCGUACCAUAGGAUGAGCCCAAGUGGGAGUAGGUAGUUGGUGAGGAAAAGGCUCACCAAGCCGACGAUACCUAGCUGGUCUGAGAGGAUGACCAGCAACACGGGGACUGAGACACGGCCCAACCUCCUACGGGAGGCAGCAGUGGGGAAUAUUGCACAAUGGGCGCAAGCCUGAUGCAGCCAUGCCGCGGGUAUGAAGAAGGCUUUAGGGUUGUAAAGUACUUUCAGCGGGGAGGCGUUACCCGCAGAAGAAGCACCGGCUAACUCCGUGCCAGCAGCCGCGGUAAUUC